AUUGAACGCUGGCGGCAUGCCUUACACAUGCAAGUCGAACGGCAGCACGGGAGCAAUCCUGGUGGCGAGUGGCGAACGGGUGAGUAAAGUAUCGGAACGUGCCCAGUCGUGGGGGAUAACGUAGCGAAAGUUACACUAAUACCGCAUACGAUCUAUGGAUGAAAGCGGGGGAUCGCAAGACCUCGCGCGAUUGGAGCGGCCGAUAUCAGAUUAGGUAGUUGGUGGGGUAAAGGCUCACCAAGCCGACGAUCUGUAGCUGGUCUGAGAGGACGACCAGCCACGCUGGGACUGAGACACGGCCCAGACUCCUACGGGAGGCAGCAGUGGGGAAUUUUGGACAAUGGGCGAAAGCCUGAUCCAGCCAUGCCGCGUGCAGGAUGAAGGCCUUCGGGUUGUAAACUGCUUUUGUACGGAACGAAAAGGUUUGGCCUAAUAAGCUGAGCUCAUGACGGUACCGUAAGAAUAAGCACCGGCUAACUACGUGCCAGCAGCCGCAGUAAUAC
rnacentral:rRNA from 1 species